GGCGGCCUGUUUGCUCUUGGCAAUAAGGGGCCUCCCUUGGCCUGCCUCCCGGCUCUGGAAGGGGGCCCGUGGUGGGCGAGUCCGGGCAGGCUGGACCUACUAUGUGCCAGCGCUUGCUGGGCACCGCUAGAUGAUGGGGUCAAGCCAAAUCCAUUUGGUUUCAUUCGGCCGCCUCUGAGUUCGCCUCUGCAGGAGCUGGAGGCACAACACUGACCUGAGGACAAGGCCCAGAGAGGGAGAAAACAGAGGGAAAACAGGUGGAAGUUCAGGAAUACCAGGCAAGGUCCCUUGCUCAGACCAAGAGUGAGGGACACUUUCUGAUGGAGGUGCCAUUUCAGAAAGCCAAGAAAAGAGAGGGUGAGAGAGGGCAGAAUGUUCCAGGCCAAGGGAACAGUACGUACCAACGCCUAGAUGUCGGACAUAGCAUGAUAGCCUGCUUAUUCUGGGAGCCAAAGCGCCUGGUAUGAGUGGAGCCUUCUGUGCAACGGGAAAUGGUGAUGUCUGUGAAGGGUGAGACACACAAGUUCACAUCACCAAGAUUUGGGGACAUCUACUAUGUGCCAGCCAUGGGGGCGGGGGACAGAAAGACAUGGGCUUUGUUUGUAGAAUUUGGCAAAGAUAAAAGAGGUGAUGUCAAGGGCUGUCUGGGGCCCCCAUUACCUCCACCAGUAGUUGUCCAAACCUCAAAGUGAUCUAGCUGGAUAGCAGAGGUUCCAGAAUGGGCGAUUGGUGAGGAAGAAGUGUGACUUGAUAUAGUGGCAAGACGGGGAUUGUGAGCAUGGAGGAGAUUCCCCACGGGUGCUGUCCCAUCGGAAGAGGCAAUGGAAACGGAAGUCAGUAAUACGGACGUGAUGGUGGAGUUCUGCAGCCAUCUUGGACCAUGAGGGUACCCUGAGGAUGGACUUCGUGUGCAGAAGAGGGCGAAGGAGAAAUAAAGGAACUCAGAUCCCUGAUGACACCCAGAGCUGCCAAAUGCACCCUACAUGUAGAUUUCAUUCAUGUGAUUAGAAACAUAAUAAUGUGUGUGUGUGUGUGUGUGUGUGUGUGUGUGUGGUGUGUAGAGAGAGAUAUAAUGUUUUAUAUAUAUACGCUAUUUUUAUACUUAUGUAUAUAUAUACCUUUAUUUAUUUAUUUAUUUUGAGACAGAAUCUCGCUCUGUUGCCUAGGCUCGAGUGCAGUGGCGCAAUUACGGCUCACUGCAGCCUCCACCUCCUGGAAUCAAGCAGUUCUCCCACCUUAGCCCCCUUAGUAGCUGGGACUACAGGUGUGUGCCACCAUGCCCGGCUAAAUGUUUUUUUAAAAAAUUUUGGCAAUAUGUUGCCCAGGCUGGUCUUGAACUCCUGAGCUUAAGCAGUCCUCCCACCUCGGCCUCCCAAAGUGCUGGGAUUACAGGCGUGAGCCACCAUAGCCAGCUGUGCUUUUAAAAUGUGUGCAUGUGUGUAUAUAUAUAUGUAUAUGCAUUUUAUAUAUAAUAUAUUUAUAUGUAUAUAUUAUUUUAAAACCUUUCUAUUUAAGUCAAAAUUAUGUUGUGUUUUUCUGGUUAGUUAUUGCUGAUGUAAAAGCGUCAUUGAUUUUUGUUGCUGACUGUGUAUCUGGCAACCUUGCUGAACUCUCUUAUUUGUUCUAAUAUUUUGUCAGUUUAUUUGGUUGGUUUUUCAAGGUAGAUGAUCACACCAUCUACAAACAAUGACAGUUUUAUCUCUUCCCUUCCAAUAAUUACACCUCUUAUUUUCUUUCCUUGUAGCUCAGCCCAGCUCUCCAGCUCUAUGUAUUAAACAGUAGCAGUAAUAACUAGCAUUCUUGCCUUGUUCCUCACCUUAAAAGGCAUGUAUUAUAUAAAACUUUUCUCCACUAGCAAUAUUUUCUGUAGGUUUUUGGUAUUAAAAAUCCCUACUAAAUUAA